rnacentral:sRNA from 20 species
GAGCGGCAGUCAUAAAAUGCCGUGUGUCUGGUGAUUGGCCUGUCCCCCGCCCGCACCAGAUAAGGACAAAGGCCUCAUCCCCCUCUCCGGGCCUUUGUCCCGCUUUCAAAAAAACCGUCACGGCGCCGCCUCCGCGCCGUGACGGUUUUUU